GGAUGAACGCUGGCGGCGUGCCUAAUACAUGCAAGUCGAGCGAACAGACGAGGAGCUUGCUCCUCUGACGUUAGCGGCGGACGGGUGAGUAACACGUGGAUAACCUACCUAUAAGACUGGGAUAACUUCGGGAAACCGGAGCUAAUACCGGAUAAUAUAUUGAACCGCAUGGUUCAAUAGUGAAAGACGGUUUUGCUGUCACUUAUAGAUGGAUCCGCGCCGCAUUAGCUAGUUGGUAAGGUAACGGCUUACCAAGGCAACGAUGCGUAGCCGACCUGAGAGGGUGAUCGGCCACACUGGAACUGAGACACGGUCCAGACUCCUACGGGAGGCAGCAGUAGGGAAUCUUCCGCAAUGGGCGAAAGCCUGACGGAGCAACGCCGCGUGAGUGAUGAAGGUCUUCGGAUCGUAAAACUCUGUUAUUAGGGAAGAACAAAUGUGUAAGUAACCAUGCACGUCUUGACGGUACCUAAUCAGAAAGCCACGGCUAACUACGUG
rnacentral:rRNA from 1 species